AUGUUGGACAACACUCAUCAAUUGAAGUUGUGUUGAACAUGCAAGUCUUCACCCUUGCUUUGUCACCGGGCGAACACGUUGUAGCCGGGGCGGGAGGGGGAGGGCUAGGGCUUGGUGGUGGAGGUGGUGGUGAUCGUGGUGGAGGUGGUGGUGAUCGUGGUGGUGGAGGUGGUGGGCAUGGUCGUGGUCGUGGUCGUGGUCUUGGAGGAGGGCAUGGAUAUGGUCGCGGAAAGGGAAAUGGCCAUGGUAAGUAACACGGAAUUUCCCAUGGCCAUAAAUUUAACUUAUUCCCAUCCUCGACCACGUCCACAACGACUUCUCUAGCCACGAUCACUUGGUG
rnacentral:lncRNA from 1 species